rnacentral:tRNA from 3 species
GGUGGAGUGGCCGAGAGGCGAGGCAGCGGCCUGCAGAGCCGUGCACAUAGGUUCGAAUCCUGUCUCCACCU